rfam:Neurospora crassa OR74A unplaced genomic scaffold supercont12.9, whole genome shotgun sequence.
UACUUAAUUAAUUCUACUAAUAGUUAUAUACUUAUUUUAAAGAUUAAAUUAUAUAUAUUUAAAUUUAAGUAAUUAAAUUAUAAAACUACGAAUAGUUUAUUAAAUUAAUUAUAAUUUAUUUAAUAGUACUUUACUAUAUAAAUAACCGUAGUAAUUCUAGAGCUAAUAUAUAUUAAAAACCCCGACUUCGGAAGGGGUAUAUUUAUUAAAUUAAAAACUAAUACCCUUCGGGGCUAACUAGUAAUUUAUAAUAACUUCUCGAAUCGUAUAACUUUAUAUUGGCGAUAGUUUAUUUAAAUUUCUAUUCUAUUAAUUUUCGACGGCUGGGUCUUAGCUAGCUAUAAUAAUAAUAGGUAACGGAAGGUUAAGGCUCGACCCCGGAGAAGGAGCCUAAAAAACGGCUAUUACAUCUAAGGAAGGUAGUAGGCGUGCAAAUUACCCAAUUCCGAUAUAAGGAGGUAGUAAUAAUAAAUAUUAAUAUAAGGCUCUUUUAGGUUUUAUAAUUGGAAUAAAUAUAAUUUAAAUCCCUUAACGAGGAAUAAUUGGAGGGUAAGUCUAGUGCUAGCAGCCGCGGUAAUUCUAAUUUUAAUAGUAUAUAUUAAAGUUAUUAAAGUUAAAAAAUUUAUAGUUAAAUUUUAGGCUCGGCCCGUUAGUCUGCUUUACUGUAUAUACUAAUUAGGUUGGGCCUUUUUUCCUAGAGAACUGUAUGCCCUUUACUAGGUAUAUUAGGGAAUUAGGACUUUUAUUAUAAAUAAAUUAAAUUGCUUAAAGAAGGCCUAUAUUCGAAUAUAUUAAUAUAGAAUAAUAGAAUAGGACGUAUAAUUCUAUUUUAUUAAUUUCUAAGACCGUUGUAAUAAUUAAUAGGGAUAAUCGGGGGUAUUAGUAUUUAAUUAUUAGAAGUAAAAUUCUUAGAUUUAUUAAAGACUAACUACUACGAAAGUAUUUACUAAGGAUAUUUUUAUUAAUUAGGAACGAAAAUUAGGGGAUCGAAGAUAAUUAAAUACUAUUGUAAUUUUAAUUAUAAAUUAUACUAAUUAGGGAUCGGACGGUGUUAUUUUUUAACCCGUUCGGUACCUUACGAUAAAUUAAAAUAUUUAGGCUCCUAGGGGAAUAUAGUCGUAAGGCUAAAAUUUAAAGAAAUUAAUAGAAGGGUACUACUAGGGGUAGAGUUUACGGUUUAAUUUAAUUUAAUAUAAGGAAACUCACCAAAUCCAAAUACAAUAAGGAUUAAUAAAUUGAAAACUCUUUCUUAAUUUCGUAGGUAAUAGUAUAUAGCUAUUCUUAAUUAAUAGAGUAAUUUAUUUAUUUAAUUAUAAUAACGAAUAAGACUUUAACCUACUAAAUAGCCUAUAUUACUUUAGUAAUAUACUAGCUUCUUAAAGGGACUAUCGGUUUAAAUUAAUAAAAGUUUAAAGUAAUAAUAAGUUUAUAAUACCCUUAAAUAUUCUAGGCCGUACGCGCGCUAUACUAAUACAGCUAGUAAAUAUUCCUUUGGCUAGAAAGUCCGGGUAAUCUUAUUAAAUUAUAUUAUAUUAGGGAUAGAGCAUUAUAAUUAUUAUUCUUUAAUAAGGAAUUUUUAAUAAGUGUAAAUUAUUAAUUUAUAUUAAUUACGUCCUUGCCCUUUAUAUAUACCGCCUAUCGCUACUAUUAAUUAAAUAGUUUAAUAAAGCUUCCAGAUUAGCUUAGGGAGGUCGGUAACGAUUAUUUAAAGUUAGAAAGCUAUUUAAACUUAAUUAUUUAGAGGAAAUAAAAAUUAUAAUAAAAUCUCCGUUAAUAAACUAGUAGAAGGAUUAUUA